rnacentral:lncRNA from 1 species
AACAGCAUAGGGGUGAAAUUUUUAUUUUUUCAUUUUAUUUUCUAUAAAUCGGGCUAUAAAAAAAGCCAUUCGAACGCUGUAAAGAGGAUUACGCAUUGAGAAUACAAAAAAAGUCGAAAUAUUGAAAGGUGACUUCCGAGUUUCUUUUACAUUUUCAUUUUGCUAGUAUCAGUUUUCUUUUUUUCUUUCUCAUAUUUUGUGUGUUUAAUAGUUAUUAGUUAAGAGAUAAAAC